UCAGUAUUCGUGUGACCUGCUGAGAGCAAGGAUGUAUUUAUUGAGUCGAUUCAACAGGCCAGGAUACGUGUGAUUGACGAAACAAACAGUCAAAGUGUAGUGUUUCUGUAUCAAAAGCGCCCUCUCGUAGCUUUUCCUACCGAUCACGUCCCAACAGCCGAGAGCGCGAGUGAGAGAGCGAGCAAGCUGGCGAGAGCAAUACGGACGACCAAAGCGACCGAAGCACACACGAAGCGCUUUUUGCUACUGUACUACCGGUCUGGAUCGGCCAUAAGACACACGAGCUCACGGUUCGCACAGUUCCCUUUAUGCUCGCCAAUCAUCCGGACGCAUUUCGCUGGCCGGCUGCCGGUGAGAAAGGCCGGUUUAGAAGAUAAGUGCAAGUGCAGUUGCAUGUGUGUGCAGGUUUAUUUAGUGGUGCAGCUGGCGCAAUACACAGUGUUGCCGGGAAGUGCAACCAUCGGAGGGGGCUAAAGCUGUUUGCUUUGAGAGCAGUGAGUGCAGGUAGUGCAAAUGGUUUCUGGUGGAUAAAUUGUUUGGAAAUUGUAGGAAAAAUUUUGUUGUGGAAAAAGUUUUGCGUGGUCAGCUGUAGCAACGUCUUGCACAGGCACCGAAGGCAUCCAAAGCGCACACAACAAAAUUCGCAAUGUAAUGUGAAAUGUGAGUGUUAGCAAGUUUGCUGGCUAGUUUUGAAGUUUGCAAGCUGAUCUGAGUGGCCAGCUGUGUGUGUGUGUGUGUGUCUGGUGCACUUGCUAUCGAAAAGAAAACCUUGUGAGUUGCUUAGUGGUUUGUUUAAAUUACUACUAUCGUAUGAUCUCAGCAACCGUCGACGGAUGAUCGCACUGGAAGCAGUGUACUAAAACGAGUGUACUAAUAGCAAAAAACGUGCCGAAAUUGAAGUGAAGAUUGUGAAUAGUGUAAUUAUAAAUUUUGGUAAAAAAAAGUUUGGUUUCCUGCGGUGUUCAGUGAAGCUUACAUCAAGAAAACGGCAAAACCAUCGACUAAUAACCAUAAAUUUAUUUAUUAUUCUAAGUGAGUCUGUCUCGCGGUUGGUACUGUGAUUGAUGGUGCAAAAUGAAAACAUUCAAACCGAACAAAUAAAUUAUCCAAAAUUGACAGAGCCGCACACAAAAACUCAUCCUCAUCCGCAUGACGAUAUCACGGCAGGAGGGAGAACUGACUGCGACUGUGUGUGUACGGGGUUGCUUAAAUAACCUACUUCGACGGGCAGCGACGCUCUAAUUGAUAGCGAUGGAACUGCUCGUUUCGCCGGAUGCUGCGCGGAACAUUGCGGCCGGAGUGUUGGAUCAGGAAAGCCAUCAAGGUGGCAUUAUAAAUCCUGCUUCGACGAUUGACCUAGAGCAGGAACUGGUUGAGAAUGGUGGUGUGAUUUGUGACAUUGCUAAAAUACCGCGAGUCCCCGGCGAUGGUGCCCAUGCUCCGGAUGACGAGGAUACCCACGACCGAUCAUCACGACCAACUGCAACUGCAACCACCACCACGGGCGAAAGAGGCGAUCUGCUGCGGACACUCUCUCUGGCGGGAUGUGAAGUGGAAGUUAACGGAGAUCUACUUAAGCUAGAUGCAAGCCACACCAAUAACCCUGGUGGUAAUGUAAUGGAAAGAACUGAAAAACCUGACGAAAAACCACAGUCAAACGGGGUAAUGUCACCGUCCUUCACCAUCCAGCAGUGCAGUCCCGACUACCAGGAGGGCAAGGGUGGCGAUCCAUUACCACCGCCCCCACCGGGCGGAGGAGAACUCGCCGCGUCGGCUACAGCAAAUCCCGGCAGCACUGCCCACAUUCCACCGCACACCAACAACACGUACUCGGCGUUCAAGCGCGGCAACGUGGUUAAGGGCAUCCUGUGCCCGUCCAUGACGAACUCGUUCCGUGCACCGUCCCUCGAGCGUUCCUAUCUGACCUACUCGCACCGCCAGCGCCAAAAGUCCCUGAUCCUGGUGAACGUGGUCGACCUGGUGCUGAAGGUGGUGCUGGCCUCGGUCUGGAUCGGCUUCAACAGUGGCAUGACAAUCAAGCCGCACGAGGUGACCUGGUCCGUGUGCUGUAUCAUCUCGAACUUUCUGAUCUGCGUGCUGGGGAGCUGGCGCCUGUUCGCCAACAACUAUCUGCACUGGGCGGCCGUCUGCACCUGGCUGCUGCUGAAUCUGCAGGGAUUUCUCGGCGAAGGGUUGGGCUUUGCCGAGCGCGAAUAUUUGAUCUGGUACGUGCUGUUCAUUAUCUUCGUCCCGUACGCGAUGCUGCCGCUGCCGCUGAAAUGGUGCAUGAUUGCCGGCUCGAUGACCGCCAUCUGCCAUUUGGUGGUGACAUCGCUGAACAAGUUUCUGCACGACAAGGAUCCGAGCUGCAUCGUUCGACAGAUGAUUGCCAAUCUGUUGCUCUACCUGGCCAUCAACUUUGCCGGCAUGUACACCAAAUAUCUGACCGACCGGGGCCAACGGUUAGCCUUCAUCGAAACGCACAAGGCAAUGGAGCACAAGCGCGAAUCGGAGAAGGAAUAUCAGCGUACGCAGCGAUUGCUCGACUCAAUUUUGCCAAUGUUUGUCAACAAUGACAUCCGGAAGGAGAUGUACAAAUCGCCGGAACAGGCGCAGGUCGAUACGCAGUUUAAGAAGCUCUACAUUUACCACAUGGACAACGUGAGCAUACUGUUUGCGGACAUUAAGGGCUUUACGGAGCUGGCGAGCAAAACGUCCGCCCAGCAGUUGGUGAAGAUAUUGAACGAUCUGUUUGCACGGUUUGAUAAAAUUGCUGAGGAUAACCAUUGUUUGCGUAUUAAGCUGCUGGGGGACUGCUACUACUGUGUGUCCAUGUUUGACAGUCAGAGCUGGAAGAGCCGUCCCGAUCAUGCGGUGUGUAGCGUCGAGACUGGCCUUCAUAUGAUCAAAGCCAUCAAGGAUGUCCGGUGUCAGACGAAUGUGGAUCUAGACAUGCGCAUCGGCAUCCACAGUGGCUCAGUGAUGUGUGGCGUGUUGGGCGAAAAGAAGUGGCACUUUGACGUGUGGUCCAACGAUGUAGUCAUUGCGAACCACAUGGAGUCGGGCGGUGUCCCGGGAAGGGUCCACAUCUCCGAGGCUACCCUGAAGUGUCUGAACGAUACGUACGAGGUCGAACCGGGCAAUGGUGGAAGCCGUGAUAGCCAUCUGAAGAUGAUGAACAUUAAAACCUUUCUUAUCAAGCGAACCGAACCGCUGCGGCCCAGGAAGCGGCUCAUGGAUGGGCAGAGCACGGUACAGUUCGAGAAGGAGACAGCGACCCGGACGGGUGAAUCACGGUUCCGGAAGGAUUCGAAAACUCCAAGCAUUACUUCCAACAGCACCAAUACGACCGGUACGACGGCUACGUGUUCGGCGGCUUCGGCGGCCAGCCAUGGCCAGGGGACAGCAGUUCAGCCCACCCACAACAACAACAACAACAACAACACAAGUAGUAAUAACAACAACCAUAUCACAAAGCGCACCAGCAAAUCUACAAUCCACGAGGACGAAACGACGACCGACUGGAUACCGGAGAUACCGUUCAAGAAUCUGAACCAGUGCGGCGUUAAUGCGGUGGAAAGCUUUCGCGACAAGAAGCACUCGGACCGGGAGGAUCCGCUAACCUCGACGGAGGAGGUGGACGAGCUGAUCGACCAGAGCAUACAGAUCAACUCGAACAAGCAGAUCCGGCAGGAGUAUCUGUACACGUGGACGCUCAAGUUUAAGGAUUCCUCGCAGGAGGGCACAUUCUGUCAGCUGCGCGAGGACAUGUUCCGGUCGAACAUGCUGUGCGUGUUUGUCGUGUGGAUCUUCAUCGUGCUGUGCCAGGCGGUGAUUAUACCGCGCUGCACCAUACUGAUCGUGGCCCUGUCGAUCACCACGUUUCUGCUGACGGUCGGGUGCAUCCUCGUGAUGGCGGAAGAGUUCUCCGGGCUGCCCAAGUUUUUGCAGAAAAGCUCGUCGACGUUGGUGCACGAUCGUAGCAGGCGGACGAUCUUCGUCUGCCUCACCAUCAUACUGAUGUCGAUCGCCAGCUCGAUGGGGCUGAUGAUGUGCGAUCUGGAGGAGGUGGAAAGCACACCGGACCGAAGCACGGCCAGUCCGAGCUACGCUUACUGGCAGGCCGGAGGUCAGCUGAAUGUGAACAGUACGACGAUGACGUUUUUGCGCCACGCGCUGGGAACGGCGAUGGAGAUGAGUGUGUUGAAUCGUAGCGAGACCGAUCCGAACAGUACGGAUGUGUCCGCGUAUCUGCACAGUGGCGAAUUGCUGGAGGGUGACGAUGCGGAAACGCCAAGCCCACCGGUGCUGCACCCGUCCUGUGUGCAUCCGGAGUAUGUGGUGUUUACCUGGGUGCUGUGCUUGAUCUCGCUAGCGACAGCGCUCAAGCUGUACUAUCUGGUGAAAACGUUUAUGGCGAUCGCGAUGGUCGCGUGCUACUCCUUCCUGAUACUGCUCGUGUUCGAAAAGGUGUUCGACUCGUACGACGUGCAGUACAUACAGGCGAGCGGUAUGCCGCUGGCUGCGCAGAUGAUGAUCCUGCUCGGCGUCUUCCUGACGAUGGUUACCUAUCACGCACGGUUGGUGGAGGUCACAUCGCGGCUAGAUUUCAUCUGGAAGGAGCAGGCCGAGAAGGAGCUGUCCAACAUGAAAUCGAACCGCCAUCUGAACGAUCUGCUAAUCAAAAACAUUCUGCCCGAUCAUGUCGCCACGUACUAUCUGUCCGAGGAGCGUACUGACGAGCUGUACGCGAAGAUGCACGAACUGUGCGGCGUCAUGUUUGCGUCCAUUCCGAACUUUAAGGAUUUUUACUCGGAGGACAUUGAGAAUGGCAAAGCGUGCAUACGCAUCCUGAAUGAGAUCAUAUCGGACUUUGAUUCGCUGCUGGAGGAGCCACGGUUCGAGACGGUGGAAAAGAUUAAAACGGUCGGUGCGACGUACAUGGCUGCCUCGAAUCUGUGCUCCACGAAAAAGCAACACGCGGACGAACAGGACGAGGAAGCCGUGUGUGAUUUGGUAGAGUUUGCACUGGCCAUGCGCCAGAAGCUGCAGGAGGUGAACAAGGACGCGUUCAACACGUUCCAGCUGCGCGUCGGUAUCAGUAGCGGGCCGCUGGUGAGUGGGGUGAUCGGUGCCCGUAAACCGGUCUACGACAUCUGGGGAAACACGGUAAACGUUGCUUCGCGGAUGGAUUCGACCGGUGAAAAUUGGAAGGUCCAAGUGCCGGACUAUACUGCCGCACUGCUGCAGACGAAGGGCUACACGUGUGUGCAACGAGGUGAAGUGAAUGUGAAGGGUAAGGGACUGAUGCUAACGUACUGGGUGCUGGGCAAGAACAUAUCCGCCAGUCAAUUAACGUCGCCUGCCCUGGUGCCGGCCGGUGUACCGCAGGCACAGACUCCGUCGCUACAGCGCCAGACGUCCCAGCACAGCUCGCUAGCAGCGGUCGUGUUCGGCAUGAUGCAAGCCUCUAAACGCAGCAAUAUAAACACAACGCCCGAAAAGUGUGGCUGGAGUCGAGCGAAAAACUUGACCGUCAAUAAGAUGCGUUUACUGCCACCCAACCGCAACGCCUUCUCCGAAAACCCGGUUCGGUCGACGGGGAAGCACAUUCAGCUCAGUGAGAUUGAAUCAGAGAGCGCCGUGUAACAACCCGGUACGCCGGAAUACAACUCGCGUCCGUGGCCGUAGCUACACCAUGAAGAAGUAUCCGACCGUUUCAUCGCCGACGAUGGGUGCGACCGUGCCGGCGGAAGAUUUCGGCGUCAGUCCCCAUAUACCAUCGUUCCGGCAGCUGCACCAGGAAGCCAAAUCCCACCAGACAGGCCUGUAAAGUGGGUCGUGACCUGUCGAUCCUUCUUCCCUUCUACUGGACGCACCAUGGUGGUGACGUUCUAGCCAAAUUUUUCUAGUCAACACGCAAUGAACAAAGUAUUUUAACGGAUUAGAACUGAUGUUUAGGUGGUAGCUGUGGACCGGAUACUGGCAGGAUAGGGUGCUUGCGUGUGUUAAACGGUUCAGGGAGAAGCAAUUAGUGUUUGUGAAGUACCGUAGAACGCCCAGAACUAAGUCUUAUACUUGCGCACAUCAGUGUACACUGGAACCACACACACACACACCUCCCAUUGGGGUUGCUAAGCACAAUUAAGUAGAAGUUCCUUUUCUUAAGUAAUUUUGAGCCCUCGACGAGAGAAAACUUAGAAUAGAUGGGGGUGGAAAAGACAUACCAUAGCGUACAAGUAAUCAGUAUGGACUGUUGUCACGAGAGACCUUAUUUGUAAAGUCCCCGAAAGUCGUCACCUCCCGUUGAUUUUGACUGUUUGUUCUGUUUUCAGCAUUGAUAGCAACUGCAAUGUGAAAAGUACCAUUAUAAUACGAACCCACGGUCAUUCAUGUCACCGUCCAUAGUCGUGUUUUACGUUGUGCUUGCAGGUACAGCCAAAACAAAUGGUGCAAUAAACAGAGCCAAAGAAAACUAACCAAAUGGAA